rnacentral:rRNA from 1 species
ACGCUGGCGGCAUGCCUAACACAUGCAAGUCGAACGAGACCUUCGGGUCUAGUGGCGCACGGGUGCGUAACGCGUGGGAAUCUGCCCUUAGGUUCGGAAUAACUUCGGGAAACUGAAGCUAAUACCGGAUGAUGACGUAAGUCCAAAGAUUUAUCGCCUAAGGAUGAGCCCGCGUAGGAUUAGCUAGUUGGUGGGGUAAAGGCUCACCAAGGCGACGAUCCUUAGCUGGUCUGAGAGGAUGAUCAGCCACACUGGGACUGAGACACGGCCCAGACUCCUACGGGAGGCAGCAGUGGGGAAUAUUGGACAAUGGGCGAAAGCCUGAUCCAGCAAUGCCGCGUGAGUGAUGAAGGCCUUCGGGUUGUAAAGCUCUUUUACUCGGGACGAUAAUGACGGUACCGAGAGAAUAAGCCCCGGCUAACUCCGUG